AGGCACUACGGUGCUGAAGCAACAAAUGCCCUGCUUCCAGGAAAAGCCUCUAAGCAUCAGGUAACACGAAAUCGUACCCCAAACCGACACAGGUGGUCAGGUAGAGAAUACCAAGGCGCUUGAGAGAACUCGGGUGAAGGAACUAGGCAAAAUGGUGCCGUAACUUCGGGAGAAGGCACGCUGACACGUAGGUGAAGUGAUUUACUCAUGGAGCUGAAGUCAGUCGAAGAUACCAGCUGGCUGCAACUGUUUAUUAAAAACACAGCACUGUGCAAACACGAAAGUGGACGUAUACGGUGUGACGCCUGCCCGGUGCCGGAAGGUUAAUUGAUGGGGUCAGCGUAAGCGAAGCUCCUGAUCGAAGCCCCGGUAAACGGCGGCCGUAACUAUAACGGUCCUAAGGUAGCGAAAUUCCUUGUCGGGUAAGUUCCGACCUGCACGAAUGGCGUAAUGAUGGCCAGGCUGUCUCCACCCGAGACUCAGUGAAAUUGAACUCGCUGUGAAGAUGCAGUGUACCCGCGGCAAGACGGAAAGACCCCGUGAACCUUUACUAUAGCUUGACACUGAACAUUGAGCCUUGAUGUGUAGGAUAGGUGGGAGGCUUUGAAGUGUGGACGCCAGUCUGCAUGGAGCCGACCUUGAAAUACCACCCUUUAAUGUUUGAUGUUCUAACGUGGACCCGUAAUCCGGGUUGCGGACAGUGUCUGGUGGGUAGUUUGACUGGGGCGGUCUCCUCCUAAAGAGUAACGGAGGAGCACGAAGGUUGGCUAAUCCUGGUCGGACAUCAGGAGGUUAGUGCAAUGGCAUAAGCCAGCUUGACUGCGAGCGUGACGGCGCGAGCAGGUGCGAAAGCAGGUCAUAGUGAUCCGGUGGUUCUGAAUGGAAGGGCCAUCGCUCAACGGAUAAAAGGUACUCCGGGGAUAACAGGCUGAUACCGCCCAAGAGUUCAUAUCGACGGCGGUGUUUGGCACCUCGAUGUCGGCUCAUCACAUCCUGGGGCUGAAGUAGGUCCCAAGGGUAUGGCUGUUCGCCAUUUAAAGUGGUACGCGAGCUGGGUUUAGAACGUCGUGAGACAGUUCGGUCCCUAUCUGCCGUGGGCGCUGGAGAACUGAGGGGGGCUGCUCCUAGUACGAGAGGACCGGAGUGGACGCAUCACUGGUGUUCGGGUUGUCAUGCCAAUGGCACUGCCCGGUAGCUAAAUGCGGAAGAGAUAAGUGCUGAAAGCAUCUAAGCACGAAACUUGCCCCGA
rnacentral:rRNA from 1 species